rnacentral:rRNA from 1 species
GUGAGGAAUAUUGGUCAAUGGGCGGGAGCCUGAACCAGCCAAGUCGCGUGAAGGAAGAAGGAUCUAUGGUUCGUAAACUUCUUUUGCAGGGGAAUAAAGUGCAGGACGUGUCCUGUUUUGUAUGUACCCUGAGAAUAAGGAUCGACUAACUCCGUGCCAGCAGCCGCGGUAAUACGGAGGAUCCGAGCGUUAUCCGGAUUUAUUGGGUUUAAAGGGUGCGUAGGUGGUUUGUUAAGUCAGCGGUGAAAGUUUGCAGCUUAACUGUAAAAAUGCCGUUGAAACUGUCGGACUUGAGUGUAAAUGAGGUAGGCGGAAUGCGUGGUGUAGCGGUGAAAUGCAUAGAUAUCACGCAGAACUCCGAUUGCGAAGGCAGCUUACUAAGCUACAACUGACACUGAAGCACGAAAGCGUGGGGAUCAAACAGGAUUAGAUACCCUAGUAGUCC